rnacentral:rRNA from 1 species
UACGGGGGGGGGCAAGCGUUGUUCGGAAUUACUGGGCGUAAAGGGCUCGUAGGCGGCCAACUAAGUCAGACGUGAAAUCCCUCGGCUUAACCGGGGAACUGCGUCUGAUACUGGAUGGCUAGAGGUUGGGAGAGGGAUGCGGAAUUCCAGGUGUAGCGGUGAAAUGCGUAGAUAUCUGGAGGAACACCGGUGGCGAAGGCGGCAUCCUGGACCAAUUCUGACGCUGAGUGAGCGAAAGCCAGGGGAGCAAACGGG